rnacentral:rRNA from 1 species
AGUGAACGCUGGCGGUAGGCCUAACACAUGCAAGUCGAACGGCAGCACAGUAAUAGCUCGCUCUUACGGGUGGCGAGUGGCGGACGGGUGAGGAAUACAUCGGAAUCUACUUUUUCGAGGGGGAUAACGCAGGGAAACUUACGCUAAUACCGCAUACGACCUACGGGUGAAAGCAGGGGAUCUUCGGACCUUGCGCGAUCGAAUGAGCCGAUGUCGGAUUAGCUAGUUGGCGGGGUAAAGGCCCACCAAGGCGACGAUCCGUAGCUGGUCUGAGAGGAUGAUCAGCCACACUGGAACUGAGACACGGUCCAGACUCCUACGGGAGGCAGCAGUGGGGAAUAUUGGACAAUGGGCGCAAGCCUGAUCCAGCCAUACCGCGUGGGUGAAGAAGGCCUUCGGGUUGUAAAGCCCUUUUGUUGGGAAAGAAAAGCAGCAGGUUAAUACCCCGCUGUUCUGACGGUACCCAAAGAAUAAGCACCGGCUAACUUCGUG